UUGAACGACUACAGAUGAUGCUGAACAUUGCAACUGCGGUAAUAUAUACAAAGAAAGAAUUGAUACAUCAACAGACACAGUAAUAUUAUAUGGUCUCACAUUUUGAAACGUCAACGUUUGGACAACGCUAUGGUGUAGGGCGCGUCUAAUUGCACAUUUAAUCAACACACCUUUCAUAAAAUUGGAAGCACUCAAGCAGAAUAUUUACUGUAGACGUAACCAAAUCUCUAUUUUCAAAAGUGUUAGCAUUAUCUCUCGAAAAUCUUAAUGGCAGAUACAACAGGAGCAUAUAUUUUUCUGGCGUUCGUUUUUAUCUUGAUAGUACUGCUUUUCUUUCUGAACAAGAAAAUGAACUCAAUUCCCCCACAUGGCAACACGCGAAGGGAGUCGUUUGAUGAAGAAACAUAUCUUACGUCCGAUUACACAACCACAGAGUUUACGAGCGAAUAUGCGUCAUCUGAUGAUAUAAGUUCAUACAGUAGUGACGAUGUUCAAAGAAGAUAAGGAAAUAUAGCUCAUCGAACUUAGGUUGACGACGCUUUUGACAACAAGAGUGAAUGGAUAGUAAUUAUUGCCUACUGUUUACCUCCUACAACCCUAGUUGACGAAACAGCCAGUUACCAUAAUUAAUAACUAGAUACAAUAGUUGAUUAAUUACAGGGCCAUACAUAAUAACGUCCCCAGCUCGCACGUUUUGGUCCUGCUAUGUACAUUUUGCAGCACAAUCAUCGUUCAUUUCAUUAGAAAUUUGUUGCUUUAGCACAGAGUGAACACUAAAAAUUUGUGUAGCAGGACAGACUAAGCUUGAAGGCUGACUGUCCCAAUGUAUAUUUGAACAAUGUAUAAGUACUACAACUUAUGAACUAGCGUAUAUCCCUAUUCCUAAAGAAAAAAAUCACAUUUAAAUGAAAGAAAAAGUCUAUUAUUUGAGCAAAUAUAACCUGCUAACUCAAAACGAUCAUGCUUUAUCAUAUAUUUCGUCAUAAACGAUGACAUGUUUGUCCCUAUAAGGUUUGAAUGCAAAAUAAAACGAUGUUAAAUAAACUUAA